rnacentral:tRNA from 1 species
GCAUCCAUGGCUGAAUGGUUAAAGCGAUGAAUAAUAGAGUGGGUUCGAUUCUUGCUGGAUGCA